CACUUACCAAGUUGACAAACAGGUACUAGAUUAUUUGAUUAUACUCUUUGUCUUUUAAUCCUAGUGCCACAGUCUCUACCGAAAUUUUACAUUCUUAAGCCUGACAUUCUUCUCACUGCUCAGCAAGCCAUUGAUGGUUGUCUGUAAACAUUAAAAGCUAUUUUGAUUCAAAGUGCCCUAUUGAUCACCCCAUUAAUGAAAUUGAUUUGGUUUUGCAGGUUUUGGAAGGUCUGCCAAUGAAUUCGAAAGUGCCACCCUUAGCAU
rnacentral:misc_RNA from 1 species